rnacentral:tRNA from 1 species
GGAUUGUGGCUCAGAGGUAGAGCGCUUGCCUGGCAUGCGUGAGGCCCUGGGUUCGAUCCACAACACCA